rnacentral:rRNA from 1 species
CCUACGGGUGGCAGCAGUGGGGAAUAUUGCGCAAUGGGGGAAACCCUGACGCAGCAACGCCGCGUGAGUGAAGGCGUAUCUCGGUAUGUAAAGCUCUAUCAGCGGGGAAGAAGGAAGACGGUACCCGACUACGCAGCGCCGGCUAACUCCGUGCCAGCAGCCGCGGUACUACGUAGGGGGCAAGCGUUAUCCGGAUUUACUGGGUGUAAGGGGAGCGUAGACGGCGUCGCAAGUCUGAAGUGAAAGCCCGUGGCUCAACCGCGGAACCGCUUUGGAAACUGCGUGGCUGGAGUGCUGGAGAGGGAAGCGGAAUUCCUGGUGUAGCGGUGAAAUGCGUAGAUAUCAGGAGGAACACCGGUGGCGAAGGCGGCUUACUGGACAGUGACUGACGUUGAGGCUCGAAGGCGUGGGGAGCGAACAGGAUUAGAUACCCGUGUAGUC